UGCUAAUGUUGGGCCAUGUAAUAUGUAAUACAUUAACGUUUUAAUGAAUAGUCUAACGAUUUAUAGUCAUGGUACUCUAUUGUUAUAAUAUGUCUUUUUGACUGAAUACAUGUUUGUUUUAUUUGUCUAUAUCUUAGAUUCGCAGCUGGACACAUCCUUCUACACUGUAUGCAAACAUGCAACAUCAUAACACACAGUACAAGGAGUCAGACUGGCAUAUGAGGAGCAAAGGAACCCAGACAGUAGCAUCGUUUCACAAUGUUUCCAUCACCAUCAUCAGUGGAUGCCUUUGCCGUCCGUAGCCUGAGAUUUCAGAUUUGCAGCAAAAAAAAUUUAUUUUCUCAUUUAUUGGAAUGCUAUGCAGGUUGUACCUUGCAGCCAUCCAUUACAAUGUCACCAAGCCGUAACAAAAGCAGGAGAGGGAAAGUACAAGGCUAUUUUCCCAAAACACACAAAUGACAUACCUUAUGUGGAUGAUGUGAUCAGGCUUGUGUUUGAUGAGGUAUUUGAAGAUAAGCUGAAGGAAACCCCCAUUCCAAUGGACCUGGCAUCACAGUUUGAAAGACCUUCAAAGGAGGACGUGAUUGCAUGCCAUCUUCAGUGCAGGGGUCGUCGAAAGCCAAAAUUGUGACCGAUCUGAUCAGGAAGCUCCAAGCAUAUCUGGAGAAAAACACACGA